rnacentral:rRNA from 1 species
GACGUAGGGCGCGAGCGUUGUCCGGAUUUAUUGGGCGUAAAGAGCUCGUAGGCUGUUCGAUAAGUCGGGUGUGAAACCUCCAGGCUCAACCUGGAGACGCCACCCGAUACUGUCAUGACUAGAGUCCGGUAGGGGAGCGUGGAAUUCCUGGUGUAGCGGUGAAAUGCGCAGAUAUCAGGAGGAACACCAGCGGCGAAGGCGGCGCUCUGGGCCGGUACUGACGCUGAGGAGCGAAAGCGUGGGUAGCAAACAGG